rnacentral:rRNA from 1 species
UACGUAGGGGGCUAGCGUUGUCCGGAUUUAUUGGGCGUAAAGAGCUCGUAGGCGGCUUGUCACGUCGAUUGUGAAAGCCCGAGGCUUAACUUCGGGUCUGCAGUCGAUACGGGCUAGCUAGAGUGUGGUAGGGGAGAUCGGAAUUCCUGGUGUAGCGGUGAAAUGCGCAGAUAUCAGGAGGAACACCGGUGGCGAAGGCGGAUCUCUGGGCCAUUACUGACGCUGAGGAGCGAAAGCGUGGGGAGCGAACAGG